CCUCGCAACAGUUCAUCCGAUCCUUUUCACACACUUUAUUAAUUCGUGAAAACUUUAGUCACUAAUGUCAAUUUGUAGUCAUAUAAUCUAGGACCACGAACUUCGAGUUAGCUUCAAUUGUCCAGGGCACUGCUUGUUUUGGGGUUGAUUCGCUUGAGCUGACUGACAGUUAGCAUACAGUGUUAUGUCCCGGCAUAUACAGCUCUUAUUCUUGACUGAACUGGCGUCACACAAAGGUCAGAUAACCCAGUUUAGCCUGUAUCCACUCACACGAUGAACUCGCCGAAUAUCUGCCCGAUAUUCGCCACCUCAAGCUCCACGUGAUCUAUAUUCAGGCCGCGGUUGGUCUUGCGCAAUACAGAGGGCGUAUUUCAUAACCUGGGUAAAAUGUGCUCCUCAAGGGCCGGCCACACCAGUGUGUCACUGUACAAUUACGAAAAACGCCUCAUCGAUAAAUUUAGACCCAUUUAGUGCGUGUUUCCCCUUGCCAUGGGUUAAGAAACAAUUUGUGUGACACACGAGAGGCAUUGACAAGAACGGUAACUCUUUGAGACGGACGUACUUUUAUGCGCAGAGGGAAUACAGGCUCAAGCCAGGCCACGUAGUCAGUGAGAUGGUUUUAAAUACAACAGCCUGACAUCGCCAGAGUCACAAUCAUCAACGGGGACAGCCGUAUUUGUCGUUGUAGACAAGUUGGAACAAUAGUGAUACACCGUACGAUCAGCCACAGCUAUCAGCUGAAGCGUUGUACAUAACUGCAAGAAGUGUGCUUGGGAAUUCUUCUUCAAAACUACGAUAACAGAUGAAAGAAUCAGUCAUGAUCCGAGCAGCAAAAGGCCAAGAUACUCUUUUUAGGCCUGGAAUUAAGAAAGACACUGUGUACUGGGAAAAGCGGCAGAAAAACAACGAAGCCGCAAGACGAUCGCGCGAAAGGCGUCGGAAUCGAGUGCUAGCGCUGGAAAGUCAUUUGCAGGAGCUAAAGAAAGAAAAUGAAGAUAUGAGAGCAGAGCUAGCUAUCAUCAAACGCCGCUUCGGUUUGCCUGUAAAUGUGCGGAUGAUCGGCCAUUUACCGCCGGAGCAAUUUGCAGAUAAAAUUUCCUGUUCCGGUCCGUCGUCGGUCAUUUCCAGAGUACCAGCCGCAAACCACUCUGUCCGAGAAAUGUUGACAUGUCCCGACACGUUUUUGGUGAAUCGCUUAGCAAACCAGGACAAGAUCUAUUUAGACCCUCGCCAAGAGUCUCACCAGUCUCACGAAUCGAACGUUCCGCUAUGUCUGAAGCGCGAAGUCAGUGACCCUGGACAGAACUCCGUGCCCGCUAAUCUGUCUUACCCACAGAUCUAUAUCAGAAAUUCGGCUUCAGCACAGGUGGACUACAGUUUUCAAGUCAAAAAAGAAAAUAUUGAUCUCUGACCAGACCAUUUUAAGCCAGUUUCACCAAAGUACCAGAGCAGACAGAACAUCUAUGCCAUUUUCAUCUUGAAGGUGAAUACUAGCCUAAUAAACAGAUUUCACUUAAUAUUAUAAAGAACUUUUUCAUUUUGUCUUAGUUUUCAUCUAUCUUUUACCCCACUGUAGAGGAAGAGCUUAUCUUUGAAAAGUAAAAGUUUCAAAUGUGAACGUAUUAAUGCAAAUGUUUCGUCAAAUAUGUCAAAAACAUAGACACUCCAAUUAAACUGACAAGUGUCACAGUCUGCUUUUACUCUCUAUACAAGACUCUUUCAUACUUCUGAGGUUUCCAUAUUUCGGCAAAAAUGUGUCAUCUUCAGUUGACGUGAAUAUUAGAUGACAAAUAAAACUUUGUCUGAAUAUUUAAAUGCCAAUAAUGUCAUUUCAUUCGCAGUUCAUUUGGAGUAUCUAUGAAUUUGUAUUAUGCUAGUAAGCUUAUUGGUGAUUCAAGAGGCGAUUACUCAUGUCAUUGUAGCUCUCCUAAUACUUAACAAUCCUAUUGACAUUCCCUUUCUACCAGUAGUGUUCGAUGAUGAUGAUGAAAAGCUAGUGAUGAUGAUGGUGAUUAUGAUGAUGAUGAUACUAAUGAUGAUGAUGAGGUUUAUGGGUAAGAUGAUCAAAAUGUGGAACAACAAAUACUGAACAAAUUUAGGUCGGAUUUCGAUGAUUAUUUAUUAUGAAAAAUCCAAUGCAAUCGUGCAUGGAUCUCUUACUUAUUUUGGAACAGACCAUGGACAUCUGAAUUGGUGGCAAAAACCCUGAAAGCCUUAACCCCAACAUACGCACCAACAAACGAAUCACAGCCAGGCUAUUAAGGAAAUUUAUAGAGGCAUGAUAAAGCAGUUCUUUAAAUUCCACUUAUUAUAAGUCAGUAAAAGCCAAAACCAACGCCCCAAUAUACAAAAAGCCAAACGCCUAGCGAAGCAGUAGUAAGUAUCAUCCAUAAAGUCAAUGGUAUGAACCGACAUGGGUUUGAUCCCAGGUCUCCUGCCAACCUGUAAAUGAAAUCAUCAGCUUUCGUAACUACCUGGAACUGAACAAACAUCACUCUUCAUCGAGAACAUCGCCAGCACGAGUCGGCUUUGUACAAAACAAUGAUAGAACUCAGAAAUUGAAACAACGCAUGUAGUUAAACUGUUACAGAGGUAGUUUUAUUAUACCAGGUAUCCAAAAUAUAGUCAAAGUGACUACCCAAAUCCUGAGCUGAAACCAGUAGAUAAUGAACAAAAAAGAAAACGGCAAACAGGAUAACGCUAGAUGAUUGACUUCACUCGAUGCCAUACGCGCGGCCGGUAUAUACAUUGUCGUAUUUACAUACUACAAUAACACACGUUUUUUUUAUACACAAAACACUAAGCAUUCCGUGCGUCGUAUGCAACUAUGGAAAUCGCACUGUCCGUAAAGAAUUGUACAAAAUGAACGCAUCUGAAGAAAGCACGGCCAUUUGCCUUCGUAAUAAUGUCGACUCACAUAUCAUGUAGGUACAAUAUUACAACCGUGGAAGGUAAACGACAACGACGGGAAAUGUUUCCAAAAAUUUGUCCCUGAUAAGUGGCCAACAACACUUUGAAACCAUUGAUUUUCUUUUUAUAAAGAACCUUGAUUCAGUGGGGAAAUCAUCGAAGAAAUACUUCUUAGGUCUAAUGCCAGUUUCAUGCGGAUUAAAGCACGUAUGGAAAGACGGAUAAAGGAGCUUUCCAAGGCGAGCAUUAGCUAAGGAAACAAAGCGUGAGGAAUCAUUAUUUCAAAGUGCAGCUAUCCACUAGAAACGAAUUUAAAGCAAUGGCUUCUUUACACGGAUCGCUACUGACAGACAAAAUAUGAAAAUGUUGCUCACUGUGAGCCAGCUAGUUAUCCGGGAAAAAAACUCACCAGUUUUAAAGACACUAAGAUUGGUGUUUCCGGUAUUUAAUUUGAGUCUUCUACAGAAAUAAAAUCUCAAUGUAACAAAAGGGAUCUAUACCAAUAGGUCUUGGCUGAAGCCUCUGAAAUCAAAAGCAGAACAUUUUCUCACAUGAAACCAACUUAAGGUGGUUAAGACAUUUUCAAAUCGAUGGCAAAUCGAAUAAAUACAUGCACACAGUUGGCAAAAUGCACACGCGGUUCAGUGCAUUCAAUGCCUUGAAGAUCAGUAUUCUGCAAACUGCCUCUUUUACAGGAAUGCCGCUAAACAUAGUUUAGAGAUAAUACACAUUUAAAUUGAAAAACACAAUAGUAGACAAGAUUAACUACGGGAUGCUUGGUAACAACCAAGUUUUUAGACACAGACACAAAACCUGUAAAUAUUAGAGAAUCAAAGAAUACAAGGAAGUUAUACGUAUAUGUUCAAUUGUCCCAAUUAUAAACUCUUUAAGAGUCCAAAAACUGAAUUUUAUUCUGUAAUAAUUCUGUACACAUCGAAUAAAGAACGGGAUUCUAUAUUUUAACAUUUUCAAAAGCAACGCAGUCCAUGAAUCAAAGGUCUGCCUGAAUAUACUCCAACUGGGGAGAGUUGUAAGCACUGUAAGACAUACGUCAUUAAAAUAACUUUUCACAUCUUGUAAAUAUAAAUAAAUAAAACACGUUUGAUGAAAUUCAAUGACAAUGAAAACAAUGAAUCUGUAGAUAGCAUGGAGUUGUUUUAUUUGUGCAUUGCCUGUCGACUGUUGCCUCUUUCAAAUUCGAAUGAUUUUUUUUUCAUAUCACCAUUGUUUCCAAAUAGACACAGGGUAUGAAAUAUACUGAGACACUGUCUGUCACAGGAUGACAGUCACUCCUAAUCCGAUGUUCAUCAGAAUUAACCUAGCAGGAAGGUGGGGGGCACAAUGGUUACGAAAAUCUCCGUCCGUUACACAAUGCAUGCAAUCACGCUACAGUUAUGAGAGUAACUCAUUCGAGCCUGAAUAUGAGCCGUUACACUAUCAUGUUGGCUCCUCCAGUUCAUACAGACGUUAGCCUGUUGACAUGGCAUACACGAUGGUCAGCGGCUGAACAAAGUACAGAGCCCAUACUUAUCAAGCUUAAGUCAAAAAUUCAAACACAGGUACAAUUACAAUGUUUUGUUUUUCACUGAUUCUUAACUGCAGAACAAUGUACUAUAACCACAAUUUGGGUUCUUUCCUAUCCUGCGUUUGGCUUUCCAAGCAAAUGCAAUUCAUGAUUAACGUCUUAAAUUGCAUGAUAAAUACAGGCCGGAUAGCAUAAAUUUGACUAUAUACCACAUGUGGGAAAGUAGUUAUGACGUGAAAGAUGGUAACCGCAGUAUUAUGGGGUUACGUCGCCUGAGUACCGGUGUGUACCACCGUGAUUAUGAGGUGAAUCGGAUUACAGUUAAAGCCAAUCUGGGGUCCCACGCAAGCUUCACCCGUCUUUCCAAUAUGUCUAUGGGAAUCCCUUACAGAACAAUUCUUAAAAAAUGUACCAAUAAACCAUGAGGUGUCUGGGACAAUCACUAAAAUCGAGCGUUUAAAUAUGAGGUUAUUACUCUCAAGUGAAGUCCAUGAGGUAAACUAAGUUAACAUUAACUUGUUACGGAAAUAUUUAAUACAGUCUUGGGUAAAACUGGCCGUGUUUAAUAAAUUCUUUAAAAUGAUGCUUUCUUGGGUCUUUUUUUUUAAGAUUGACAUAAAAUAGCACAUGUACAUAACUGCAUGAAAUGCACAGUUUACUGUCAUGUGCGCGUAAAUCUAUUGACAUACCAUACCCGGUUUUCAGAGCUAAGUUGAUUAUAUAAUUAUAUUAAGUCGGGAUUCCAAAUGUGCUAUUUUUAUACUGGCCUCAUUGUUGUAAAUAACAGCACAAAAGUGUAGCAGAAAAUAGGUUUCGCUGGAAAGUCGCAGGAAAAGUUUGUUCUUCGAGAUUCGAUGCAAAAUUUACACAGAUAUUUUCUUUUUUGUGUGUGUGUGUCUUUGUGGGUUGUUUUCUUUUCGGGGGAGGUUGGGGGGGGGAGGGGAUUUUGAAUUCCGGCAUGUCCACUCACAGAUACCAUCGCACGCGAAGAAAGGCCAAAGAUAACUUAUUCCAUAAUAAUACCUAAUACCCACUGACAUUGCAAAACUUUCUUGGACUAAUAAACAGGUCGUUACACAAUCACUACUAACACAGACAACUACACUAAACAACAUGAGACGACUCAACAUCGAGGAAAAACGCGCAGACGCAAUACCAUAAAUCUUUAAUCACCUACAAAAGAUUCAGCCAACCAGCGUCUACUUACACUACUCAAUGCUUUUAACCCAACAGCGAGUUUAUGGCACAUCAGAACAAAUGCAAAAUAAUCUACCUGGCUCAAAUGAAUAGCACUAAAUUUGGGAAUAAAGGAAAAAAAAUCAUAGCACUCUAGAUGCACAAUCAUAGAAGUAACGAAUCUUGUAGGUUAUUCUUCGGGUAACUCCUGAACAUUAAAAAUUAACAAGCUAAAAAAA